rnacentral:rRNA from 1 species
GCAGUCGCCACGGUAAUACAGAGGGUGCGAGCGUUAAUCGGAUUUACUGGGCGUAAAGCGUGCGUAGGCGGCUUUUUAAGUCGGAUGUGAAAUCCCUGAGCUUAACUUAGGAAUUGCAUUCGAUACUGGGAAGCUAGAGUAUGGGAGAGGAUGGUAGAAUUCCAGGUGUAGCGGUGAAAUGCGUAGAGAUCUGGAGGAAUACCGAUGGCGAAGGCAGCCAUCUGGCCUAAUACUGACGCUGAGGUACGAAAGCAUGGGGAGCAAACAGGAUUAGAUACCCGCGUAGUCCCUGUCUCUUAUAC